ensembl:ncRNA C54G7.14 ncRNA
CCGCUGUUUGCACGCAUCGCUGGUUGUCCAGUGUACGCGAGGGAUCACACCGGCAUUUGCCAAGAUAGCAGCUACUGCCACCGGAACACAUCUCGCCGUUUGAACAAUGACCGCCAGGAAACUGUUUGCAUUUUCCAGUGAGCUCGACAG